rnacentral:piRNA from 1 species
AUACUAGUGUAGUGUCUGCGGGUGG